UACGUAGGGGGCAAGCGUUGUCCGGAUUUAUUGGGCGUAAAGAGCGUGUAGGCGGCCAGACAAGUCUGCUGUGAAAACUCGAGGCUCAACCUCGAGAUGUCGGCGGAAACCGUCUGGCUAGAGUCCGGAAGAGGAGAGUGGAAUUCCUGGUGUAGCGGUGAAAUGCGCAGAUAUCAGGAAGAACACCUAUGGCGAAGGCAGCUCUCUGGGACGGUACUGACGCUGAGACGCGAAAAGCGUGGGGAGCGAACAGG
rnacentral:rRNA from 1 species